CUUUCCUGUGAGCUCUCCUCAGCCUGUGCAGACCCCCAGGUUUUGUAGAGAAACCUAAGGCAUCAGUGCAAACAGCUCCUCAGAAUCUUUAACUUGAAUUUUUAUCUAAUACGCUCUUAAAAAAGAAAGAAAGAAAGAAAGUACAGCAGUAAAUAGCAGAGGCCUCAGAGUUGCAAACUGCUGUUCCCAUGACUCGGAGAAGAUUUUCAAAAGUACAUAAUGAGAGUCUAGGAGUUCUCUUCCCAUUGACUUUGAAAAUCUUCCCUUCACGUAUUUGAGCUAGUCCUGUUAAACUCAGCUGGACUACUUGCAGGCAAAUGUUUGCAGGCUAAGGGCCUAAUGUUGCUAAUGAUUCCACUGCUCACUUCUAGGGCUGCGUAGUCAAAAAUAUAAGCAAAACAAGCUUUGUAGGGAGAGGUAAUCUCUCUCUCUCUCUCUCUUUCUUUCUCUCUCUCUCUCCCUCUCUCUCUCCCUCCUUUUUUUUUUUUUUUUACCAACUGACACAGUUGGAGAAAACAGCAAGCUUUUGGGCUCAGAAAGCUUAGACCAUCAUGGCUACGAAAACUGUACUGCUAGUCAGAAAAAAUGCAAUUCUGGAACUCCUUAGUGAAACAGCAAGGCAAAACAACAUCGGAACAGUUGCCAAGUGAUCUUCUCCACAGUACCCAUGAACUUCAGCCUUGAACUGAAGAGGACUCAUCAAAUGGCUCGGGAGAGAGAUAGCAUGGAAUUGGAAGAGAAGCAUGAAGGGCAGUCAACUGCAGUCUUGGUGUGUGGAGGAAAAGGUCCUGUUCUCGCUGUUGCUACUCCCACAUAGGUGGACUCUGUAACUGAUCGUGUGUGGGUAGGGCCCUAUUGAAAUUAAGGAGAUUCGGCAAUAUUGCAGGGUUCUGUUUUUGAAAAUUCAAUUGCAAGAUCAGGACCCUACUGUGACUGCUUACUGUGAAUACUGUCAGUGUAUCAUUGAUUGUUCUGGAACCUGCCUUGUGGGAUAAUGUAAGUCCUGCUUUUCCCCCAAAUGUAUUUCAGACAUGAAAUAAUCCUAAAACAUUUCUGAUUAGAAAAUCUAUAUCAUUUACAUGCAUUCUUU
rnacentral:lncRNA from 1 species